rnacentral:rRNA from 1 species
UAGGGAAUCUUCGGCAAUGGGGGGAACCCUGACCGAGCAACGCCGCGUGAGUGAAGAAGGUUUUCGGAUCGUAAAGCUCUGUUGUUAAGGAAGAACGAGUGUGAGAAUGGAAAGUUCAUGCUGUGACGGUACUUAACCAGAAAGGGACGGCUAACUACGUGCCAGCAGCCGCGGUAAUACGUAGGUCCCGAGCAUUGUCCGGAUUUAUUGGGCGUAAAGCGAGCGCAGGCGGUUAGAAAAGUCUGAAGUGAAAGGCAGUGGCUCAACCAUUGUAGGCUUUGGAAACUGUUUAACUUGAGUGCAGAAGGGGAGAGUGGAAUUCCAUGUGUAGCGGUGAAAUGCGUAGAUAUAUGGAGGAACACCGGUGGCGAAAGCGGCUCUCUGGUCUGUAACUGACGCUGAGGCUCGAAAGCGUGGGGAGCGAACAGG